rnacentral:rRNA from 1 species
ACGGGAGGCAGCAGUGGGGAAUAUUGCACAAUGGGGGAAACCCUGAUGCAGCGAUGCCGCGUGGAGGAAGAAGGUUUUCGGAUUGUAAACUCCUGUCUUAAAGGACGAUAAUGACGGUACUUUAGGAGGAAGCUCCGGCUAACUACGUGCCAGCAGCCGCGGUAAUACGUAGGGAGCAAGCGUUAUCCGGAAUUACUGGGUGUAAAGGGAGUGUAGGCGGGACUGUAAGUCAGAUGUGAAAUAUGCCGGCUCAACUGGCAGACUGCAUUUGAAACUGCGGUUCUUGAGUGAAGUAGAGGUAAGCGGAAUUCCUAGUGUAGCGGUGAAAUGCGUAGAUAUUAGGAGGAACAUCAGUGGCGAAGGCGGCUUACUGGGCUUUAACUGACGCUGAGGCUCGAAAGCGUGGGGAGCAAACAGGAUUAGAUACCCUGGUA